rnacentral:rRNA from 1 species
GUGGGGAAUUUUGGACAAUGGGCGCAAGCCUGAUCCAGCAAUGCCGCGUGCAGGAAGAAGGCCUUCGGGUUGUAAACUGCUUUUGUACGGAACGAAACGGUCCUGGCUAAUACCUGGGGCUAAUGACGGUACCGUAAGAAUAAGCACCGGCUAACUACGUGCCAGCAGCCGCGGUAAUACGUAGGGUGCGAGCGUUAAUCGGAAUUACUGGGCGUAAAGCGUGCGCAGGCGGUGCUGUAAGACAGGCGUGAAAUCCCCGGGCUCAACCUGGGAAUUGCGCUUGUGACUGCAGUGCUGGAGUGCGGCAGAGGGGGAUGGAAUUCCGCGUGUAGCAGUGAAAUGCGUAGAUAUGCGGAGGAACACCGAUGGCGAAGGCAAUCCCCUGGGCCUGCACUGACGCUCAUGCACGAAAGCGUGGGGAGCAAACAGGAUUAGAAACCCCGGUAGUCC